rnacentral:rRNA from 1 species
UGAGGAAUAUUGGGCAAUGCCCGCAAGGGUGACCCAGCAACGCCGCGUGGAGGAUGAAUGUCGUAAGAUUGUAAACUCCUGUUAGAGGGGAAGAAUAGUACCGGUUGGACCGGUAUAUGACUGUACCCUCAGAGAAAGCCCCGGCUAACUACGUGCCAGCAGCCGCGGUAAUACGUAGGGGGCAAGCGUUGUCCGGAUUUACUGGGUGUAAAGGGCGCGCAGGCGGGAUAAAAAGUCAGUGGUGAAAUCCUACAGCUUAACUGUAGAACUGCCUUUGNUACUUUUAUUCUUGAGUUCGGGAGAGAGAGACGGAAUUCCAGGUGUAGUGGUGAAAUACGUAGAUAUCUGGAAGAACACCAGUUGCGAAGGCGGUCUCUUGGUCCGACACUGACGCUGAGGCGCGAAAGCGUGAGGAGCAAACA